GGACGAACGCUGGCGGCGUGCCUAAUACAUGCAAGUCGAACGGUCUUUCUAUGGAAGCUUGCUUCCACUGAGAAGGUAGUGGCGAACGGGUGAGUAACACGUGGGUAACCUGCCCAUAAGAGGGGGAUAACAUCCGGAAACGGGUGCUAAUACCGCAUAGUUUUCUUGAUCGCAUGAUUGAGAAAGGAAAGACGGCCUUUGUGCUGUCGCUUAUGGAUGGACCCGCGGCGUAUUAGUUAGUUGGUGAGGUAACGGCUCACCAAGACGAUGAUACGUAGCCGACCUGAGAGGGUGAUCGGCCACAUUGGGACUGAGACACGGCCCAAACUCCUACGGGAGGCAGCAGUAGGGAAUCUUCCGCAAUGGACGAAAGUCUGACGGAGCAACGCCGCGUGAGUGAAGAAAGGUUUUCGGAUCGUAAAACUCUGUUGUCAGAGAAGAACAAGUUGGAGAGUAACUGCUCCAGCCUUGACGGUAUCUGACCAGAAAGCCACGGCUAACUACGUGCCAGCAGCCGC
rnacentral:rRNA from 1 species